AGAUUAAGUUAUUAAGGGCGCACGGUGGAUGCCUUGGCACUAGAAGCCGAUGAAGGACGUUACUAACGACGAUAUGCUUUGGGGAGCUGUAAGUAAGCUUUGAUCCAGAGAUUUCCGAAUGGGGAAACCCAGCAUGAGUUAUGUCAUGUUAUCGAUAUGUGAAUACAUAGCAUAUCAGAAGGCACACCCGGAGAACUGAAACAUCUUAGUACCCGGAGGAAGAGAAAGAAAAUUCGAUUCCCUUAGUAGCGGCGAGCGAAACGGGAAGAGCCCAAACCAACAAGCUUGCUUGUUGGGGUUGUAGGACACUCUAUACGGAGUUACAAAGGACGACAUUAGACGAAUCAUCUGGAAAGAUGAAUCAAAGAAGGUAAUAAUCCUGUAGUCGAAAAUGUUGUCUCUCUUGAGUGGAUCCUGAGUACGACGGAGCACGUGAAAUUCCGUUGGAAUCUGGGAGGACCAUCUCCUAAGGCUAAAUACUCUCUAGUGACCGAUAGUGAACCAGUACCGUGAGGGAAAGGUGAAAAGCACCCCGGAAGGGGAGUGAAAUAGAACCUGAAACCGUGUGCUUACAAGUAGUCAGAGCCCGUUAAUGGGUGAUGGCGUGCCUUUUGUAGAAUGAACCGGCGAGUUACGAUUUGAUGCAAGGUUAAGCAGUAAAUGUGGAGCCGUAGCGAAAGCGAGUCUGAAUAGGGCGUUUAGUAUUUGGUCGUAGACCCGAAACCAGGUGAUCUACCCUUGGUCAGGUUGAAGUUCAGGUAACACUGAAUGGAGGACCGAACCGACUUACGUUGAAAAGUGAGCGGAUGAACUGAGGGUAGCGGAGAAAUUCCAAUCGAACCUGGAGAUAGCUGGUUCUCUCCGAAAUAGCUUUAGGGCUAGCCUCAAGUGAUGAUUAUUGGAGGUAGAGCACUGUUUGGACGAGGGGCCCCUCUCGGGUUACCGAAUUCAGACAAACUCCGAAUGCCAAUUAAUUUAACUUGGGAGUCAGAACAUGGGUGAUAAGGUCCGUGUUCGAAAGGGAAACAGCCCAGACCACCAGCUAAGGUCCCAAAAUAUAUGUUAAGUGGAAAAGGAUGUGGCGUUGCCCAGACAACUAGGAUGUUGGCUUAGAAGCAGCCAUCAUUUAAAGAGUGCGUAAUAGCUCACUAGUCGAGUGACACUGCGCCGAAAAUGUACCGGGGCUAAACAUAUUACCGAAGCUGUGGAUUGUCCUUUGGACAAUGGUAGGAGAGCGUUCUAAGGGCGUUGAAGCAUGAUCGUAAGGACAUGUGGAGCGCUUAGAAGUGAGAAUGCCGGUGUGAGUAGCGAAAGACGGGUGAGAAUCCCGUCCACCGAUUGACUAAGGUUUCCAGAGGAAGGCUCGUCCGCUCUGGGUUAGUCGGGUCCUAAGCUGAGGCCGACAGGCGUAGGCGAUGGAUAACAGGUUGAUAUUCCUGUACCACCUAUAAUCGUUUUAAUCGAUGGGGGGGACGCAGUAGGAUAGGCGAAGCGUGCGAUUGGAUUGCACGUCUAAGCAGUAAGGCUGAGUAUUAGGCAAAUCCGGUACUCAUUAAGGCUGAGCUGUGAUGGGGAGAAGACAUUGUGUCUUCGAGUCGUUGAUUUCACACUGCCGAGAAAAGCCUCUAGAUAGAAAAUAGGUGCCCGUACCGCAAACCGACACAGGUAGUCAAGAUGAGAAUUCUAAGGUGAGCGAGCGAACUCUCGUUAAGGAACUCGGCAAAAUGACCCCGUAACUUCGGGAGAAGGGGUGCUCUUUAGGGUUAACGCCCAGAAGAGCCGCAGUGAAUAGGCCCAAGCGACUGUUUAUCAAAAACACAGGUCUCUGCUAAACCGUAAGGUGAUGUAUAGGGGCUGACGCCUGCCCGGUGCUGGAAGGUUAAGAGGAGUGGUUAGCUUCUGCGAAGCUACGAAUCGAAGCCCCAGUAAACGGCGGCCGUAACUAUAACGGUCCUAAGGUAGCGAAAUUCCUUGUCGGGUAAGUUCCGACCCGCACGAAAGGCGUAACGAUUUGGGCACUGUCUCAACGAGAGACUCGGUGAAAUCAUAGUACCUGUGAAGAUGCAGGUUACCCGCGACAGGACGGAAAGACCCCGUGGAGCUUUACUGUAGCCUGAUAUUGAAAUUCGGCACAGCUUGUACAGGAUAGGUAGGAGCCUUUGAAACGUGAGCGCUAGCUUACGUGGAGGCGCUGGUGGGAUACUACCCUAGCUGUGUUGGCUUUCUAACCCGCACCACUUAUCGUGGUGGGAGACAGUGUCAGGCGGGCAGUUUGACUGGGGCGGUCGCCUCCUAAAAGGUAACGGRGGCGCUCAAAGGUUCCCUCAGAAUGGUUGGAAAUCAUUCAUAGAGUGUAAAGGCAUAAGGGAGCUUGACUGCGAGACCUACAAGUCGAGCAGGGUCGAAAGACGGACUUAGUGAUCCGGUGGUUCCGCAUGGAAGGGCCAUCGCUCAACGGAUAAAAGCUACCCCGGGGAUAACAGGCUUAUCUCCCCCAAGAGUUCACAUCGACGGGGAGGUUUGGCACCUCGAUGUCGGCUCAUCGCAUCCUGGGGCUGUAGUCGGUCCCAAGGGUUGGGCUGUUCGCCCAUUAAAGCGGUACGCGAGCUGGGUUCAGAACGUCGUGAGACAGUUCGGUCCCUAUCCGUCGUGGGCGUAGGAAAUUUGAGAGGAGCUGUCCUUAGUACGAGAGGACCGGGAUGGACAUACCUCUGGUGUACCAGUUGUCGUGCCAACGGCAUAGCUGGGUAGCUAUGUGUGGACGGGAUAAGUGCUGAAAGCAUCUAAGCAUGAAGCCCCCCUCAAGAUGAGAUUUCCCAACUUCGGUUAUAAGAUCCCUCAAAGAUGAUGAGGUUAAUAGGUUCGAGGUGGAAGCAUGGUGACAUGUGGAGCUGACGAAUACUAAUCGAUCGAAGACUUAAUCAAAUU
rnacentral:rRNA from 1 species